rnacentral:lncRNA from 1 species
UCACGCCGAGAUCACUGCCACUAGUGGACCAUCGUCAAGCCCUCGUCACCACCGAAAUCUUCGCAAGUCACCUGCAAGAAAAGGAAACACAGCAGAUACGAAAAAAACAAAAAAAGGAAACUAAAAUAAAAGGAUUUCAGCAGAUCACAAUCAAAGAUAUGGUAGAUACAACAGACAAGAAAUGGAAAGAGAUCUUAGAUUUCUUUCCCAGUUUAUGUAAUAACAGUAGUGGCUAUAAAAGCCCGAAUCAAAACAGUGUAAAGGGACCCCUUCUUUUUUUUGGAAGAAAGAAAUAUACUCACAGACAUUCAUUCAAAAAAAAAUACCAACAGCCUCUCAAAAGGUGAUUUAAUCACAUAUCUCGUGCUUUAUUUUGAACAUAUAUGAACUGUUUUAUCAUAUACAAGUAAGGAUCUAAGGGAAAAGAGGUCACCUGUGGAAAGACGAAGGUUUUUAAGCCUUCAGACCACCGUGUACGAUGGCGCGUG